CCUACGGUGGGCAGCAGUGAGGAAUCUUGGUCAAUGGACGAGAGUCUGAACCAGCCAAGUAGCGUGAAGGAUGACUGCCCUAUGGGUUGUAAACUUCUUUUAUAUGGGAAUAACAUGUUCCACGUGUGGGAUUUUGUAUGUACCAUAUGAAUACGGAUCGGCUAACUCCGUGCCAGCCGCCGCGGUACUCCGGAGGAUCCGAGCGUUAUCCGGAUUUAUUGGGUUUAAAGGGAGCGUAGGUGGAUUGUUAAGUCAGUUGUGAAAGUUUGCGGCUCAAACGUAAAAUUGCAGUUGAAACUGGCAGUCGUGAGUACAGUAGAGGUGGGCGGAAUUCGUGGUGUAGCGGUGAAAUGCUGAGAUAUCACGAAGAACUCCGAUUGCGAAGGCAGUUCACUGGACUGCAACUGACACUGAGGCUCGAAAGUGUGGGUAUCAAACAGGAUUAGAUACCCUGGUAGUC
rnacentral:rRNA from 1 species